AGCCCAGUCCGUGGCUCUGAGCACUCCCGCGGCGGACCUGGCAAGACACUCCAGCCGAGGAAGACACCGAGCCAGCAGGAGUGGAAGCGAAGUCUCUUGUAAGGAAUGUUGUUGUGACUGAGAAUGUUAUAUCUGAAGCCACAGGACUCAUUUGCUGGCUUUAGCAAAUCCAUGGAUUCAUUUCUUUUACUGGUCCUGUCUCCGGGUAUACCAGGACUACACCACAGGUGAACAACUAAUGGAAUCCAGUGCAAUGAACAAGUGUUUGGGGCUCCUCAUCUCCUUUUUUCUCAAAUUUCAACUUGGCUCUUCAAAAUAAAAUAAUUAAGACAGCAGCCCCGGUUCUGGAAGGCCUUGAAGACAAAAUGGCACUUCCCUUUGAGAGCAUGAUGAGUAGGGGGAGAAGUCACCCUGUAUAUUCAGGCAUAUACUGCAGAAAGCCUGUCAUGGCUUGGCUAUGGUAUGACAGUAAGUAGGUGGGUGGUGGAAGCAGGAUUUGCACCCAGGUCUGUCUGGUGCCAGAGCCCAUGCACAUGCAGGCCCACUGCCAUCCCCAGCAUUAAUAGGAGGCAUUCAGGCAGGGAGAAGUGAAUUUGUAACCAAUCCACAGACAUUCACAAAUGGGUCAGGAAGUGACCUCAGAGGGCGGAGGGAACUUUCUUUUCCUUUUCGUAUAAAAAGAAAGAAGAAGGGGAAGGGAGGAUAACCUAAGAGAAAAUAGUCUUUUAAUCAGCAUUGUUUCAACUUUAUAUUCUGUGUCCCUCACAAGUCCAUAUAUAUAUAUACAUAUACAUGUUUUUUCCCAUAACCCUCUUCCAUUUGCUAGCAGCCAUGAUGCAUUGGACCAUUAGCCCCUUGGCACCUCAGUUUGCCUCUCUGCAAAAUGGGUAUAAAAACUUUACCUACCUCCCAGGGUGAUUAUAAGGAUUAAAUGAGACAUUGGAGGCAAAACAGGCUUCCCAGUUCAACCAUAAGGGCUGACUAUUUUUAACAUAGUUACUGGGAAGAAAAAGCUCUGUGGUGCAAUGGGAUGAUAUGGACUUGGAGAACAGGAAGACCUGAGUUCAAGUCCAAGGCCUUUUACUUCCUUAGCUGUGUGACCUUGAGCGGGUCAGUUACCCUCUCUGAACCUCCCAAUUUCCUCAUCCAAUCCUCCUUUGGGAUUCCAUAAUAGGGAAAUGUAUAGAGACAGAGCCCUUGCCAGGUGGUUCAGUUGGUUGGAGUGUCAUCCUGUGCACUGAAAGGUUGCAGGUUCAAUCCCCGGUCUGGGCACAUACGGGAGGCAACCAAUCGAAGUUUCUCUCUCACAUCCAUGUUUUUUUCUCUCUCUCAGUCUCUCUCUAAAAUCAAUAAACCUAUCCUCAGUCGAGGAGUUUAAAAAUAGCUACAGAGACAGAAAGUAAAAUAGCAGGUGCCUAGGACUGAGGGGAGGGGGCGCUGGAGGGAGAUGACCAAGGCUUUCUCUUUGGAGUGAGGCAGGUGUUCAAAGACUGGCUGUAGUGAUAGUUAAGCAUCUCUGGGAAUAUACUAAGAGCCAUUGAACUGUACCCUUUAGGUGGCGGAAUUGUAUGGUCUGUGAAUUAUAUCUCAAUAAAGCUGUCAAAAAAAAAAAAAAAAAAGCCUACC